AUUGAACGCUGGCGGCAGGCUUAACACAUGCAAGUCGAGCGGGGGUAGGUAGCUUGCUACCGGACCUAGCGGCGGACGGGUGAGUAAUGCUUAGGAAUCUGCCUAUUAGUGGGGGACAACAUCUCGAAAGGGAUGCUAAUACCGCAUACGUCCUCUGGGAGAAAGCAGGGGAUCUUCGGACCUUGCGCUAAUAGAUGAGCCUCAGUCGGAUUAGCUAGUUGGUGGGGUAAAGGCCUACCAAGGCGACGAUCUGUAGCGGGUCUGAGAGGAUGAUCCGCCACACUGGGACUGAGACACGGCCCAGACUCCUACGGGAGGCAGCAGUGGGGAAUAUUGGACAAUGGGGGGAACCCUGAUCCAGCCAUGCCGCGUGUGUGAAGAAGGCCUUAUGGUUGUAAAGCACUUUAAGCGAGGAGGAGGCUACUUUAGUUAAUACCUAGAGAUAGUGGACGUUACUCGCAGAAUAAGCACCGGCUAACUCUGUGCCAGCAGCCGCAGUAA
rnacentral:rRNA from 1 species